GGUUACAACAGCAUAAUGCUCAAAUGAAGUUUAACCCCUGUUAGCAUUCAUGAACUUUUGAAUUUUAAAGAUUUCCGAGUACGUGGGGCUUUAUAGGAGCAGGGUGUGAAACCUACCCGGGGUCCAGGGGGUUUCCGUAGUUGUCAUGCUUCGGCCUUCCCUUGCCAAACUCCAUGCUGGUGAUGAAUGCAGGACCUGAUAUAAAAAAGAAAAAAACAAUUCAAAGAAAAACAGUUUGCAGGUACAGUAAAGCAAGGUGAGGAUCGUGUAUUUGUGUACCUGAGUUUAGUCCACAGUGGCCACCCUUCUGGUCUCUGUACUCCCUGCAGCCGCUUCGUUGCUCCAGACUAGGACAGGGCUCUCCGCUGUUACUGGGCUGCUGCUCUACGUGACGAACACGGACCCGCACUGAAGCCUGACACGACUUGGCACAGCCGCUCCAAAAGCUCCAGUCGCUCACAGUGCAGUCCUGAGCUGGAUGUUGGCGCCCAUGUUGUGGGAGAAGGAAUAUUACAGGAUAUCCUUUUGUGGUAGCAAACAAUCAGAACUGCAGUGAAACUCAUAGAAAUUGGACCCCAGCACCAACACUGAUUGGUUUAGUUUAGUGUGUGCAGAGGUGAGUCACAGCAACAGUAAAAGCUUGCAGCGUUCUUGCCGGCUGCAUAAUUACAAUCUCCCUGUGAAGCCGCGUAAUGGAGGUAAAUAUCCAGGAAAUCACUUUAGAUCAAUGAAGCAUUGAUUGUGACUUGUAGAAUUAGUGUUCCCUGCUCUACUCCGAGUGGUUUGAUAUCAUGCCAAGUGAGCAACCCAUUCAAUCACCAAGUCCUGUGAUUUCUUUCUUUUCAGUCGCUCCCUGUUUUCUCGAUGAUUAAGCUUGGCUGCAUUAAGCGUGCAGAUUUAGUCUCUUAUCGGCCUUUAACGCAUAUUAGGUACGCUCGGCUUGUUUGCCUGGAACUGUAAUUGCUACGACUGAUUGACAGAAUCACAUUCUUCAAAUAUUUUUACUAAUUCCAUUAUGUGGGCCAGUCCGCUGAAAUGAGGUUAGACACAGAGCUGCCUGGGUUAUGUGGUGAACUGAUUGUGGUAGGUUUUUGUGAUGUAGCAGACGUGAUGUGUGCUCCAGAAGAAAAAAAAUAAGAGCUGUCAUUGUUUCUAGUGCACAAGUCAGGAGGUGGAGAUAAAUGUGCUCAAACAACUUCACAUGCACAGCUCUGUGUCAUCAGAUAAGCAGCCCAGGUACUAAAAAAACAAUCUUCUCCAGCUAUGUUUAUCUCCUGUCUGCUAAUCUGUCUUUAGCGAGGGUCAUCUCAUGCGACAGGUUAUCUCCCACUGGUUUCGCAUAGUUAUGUGUGUGUGCACAGAAAACUCCACUUGUGACUCAUUCGCACUGACAGCGAUCCCUUCCUGUCCUCCCUCACCUGGGCAUUCUGUGAAGUAGUCGAAGCAGCAGUCGUUGGUCCUCGCACAGCCCUCGUCGCAGUAGCACGUCCCGUACACACGGUCCAUCCUCCAGUCGGUGGUCAGACAGCUCAAGUCUCUGCCUCGGCAGCAUUUCCCUGAACAACCCCCGGACACCAAGUGGUUCUUUCCCAGAGUGGAGACCACCAACAGCAAACAAGCAAACUCCACAGAGGAUCCCAUCCUGAAGGGGGUCAGGUCAGACCCUUGAAGUUAAAGACUAGCCUCUGAGUUCGUAAGUGAUUAGUCCCUCCCUGGUCCUACUCCACAUCUGUCACACUCAUGACCGUGAGAGGGAGAGGUGGGAAUAACCAGCCCAACCCAGCCAAGACAGGAGCCCUUGUGACCUGGAAUUCCUGCGUCCGUCUCCUGCGUCCAGCCCCUCUUGUUUCCCUCCAGGAACGGGUCUGCAGAGUAACCUACAGCACAGGACGACCCGUUCCAGCGCUGAUCAGACUCCCGUGUCUCUCUUAUUGUGUGUGUGCGUCCUCUCCCUUCAGAGCUGGUGACUCUCUCCUUGUUCCCAGCUGAGCACCUCCCUCCAGUUGAUCGCACACGGGAGGAGACAGUGAGGGCAAGGGAGGGAUUUAGUGUGACCCUGAUGCCAGUCUCGCCCAGCCACUCUGCCACCCCAGACCUCUGAGUCCCAAAAGAAAGGCAGGAAUGCUACUGUAAUCUUCUAAAUAUCCAGACACUUCUUUGUUGUGCUUUGUACCUUCAUGUGAUCAGCUUGCGGAGAGCGGAGGGGGGUCUGUUUGGGUCCUUUGAUUCUUCUUCUCGCCAUAAGCAGGCCCCCAACCCUGGACCUCCUGCCCUCGCUGUGCACCUGUCAAAGACGAUCAGCCUUCCUACAGUAACGCACCCUGCUCCGAGUAGAGAGGAAAGGAGAUUACGCCCAUGGUAGCCGUCUCAAGUUGCCUUGAGAUGGUGAACAGUGUGUGUGUUUACGGCCUUCAAACUCUGUCACCAGCUGCCCUGUCAGAGGCUGAAGUCACACGACGAGUUUAUUUGACGAACACGAAGAGGUAGUGACCGACGCAGAGAGAGAGGUUGUGUAGUGUCUUGAGUUGGGCGUCGAGCAAACGGCAGGGUGAAUCCUCGCUCAAUCUCGCCUACGUGGGGAAUGCAAACUGUGGCUGUCGCCACGGUAACCGCUGACCUGGGUUGCUAUAGUUUCAAAACCUUUUGUUGACAAAUGUUCACCUUUUCAUCUCUCGCCCCACCUGUUGUAAAGGAACGCGGAUGAAGUCACCUCCCAACGCCGUAUCUGUAUGUUACAUACACACACACAGAGGUGUGUGGGCCAUUAAACACAAUAGUACAAUGUAGGACAAAAAGACUCUUUAACUAAUAUGUUGUACAUGGUGGUACAGUGUAUCAUGAACUCAAAAAUAUUUAACCUCAAACAAAUAUUUAACAAAAGAUUAAUAAUAGUUAGUUUGUUUCUUCCUGAUCAGUCCAGUCAGUUUCUGUCCCAUGAAUGGAAGCCUUUGUCCACUAUCAUCUGAAUUCACUCAGCUUCCUCCCUCCAUGUUUACAUCUGUACAUUUGCUGUGUGUGUGUGUGUGUGUGUGUGUGUGUGUAUGACGUUAAGGGAGUGUACGUCUUAGAGAUAGAUAAGUGAGGCUGAGCAGGUUACAAGUUACCUCGAAGAACACAGAGAAUUGUAUGCGGCAGUGCCUGCGCUGUACCGGAGGAGUACAACUUAAAUCAUGACCCUGAGUGAGUCUCUUGCUCUUCCCAUCGCGCUUACAUCAUCUAUUUGACAAACCAUCUAGUGCGUCCCACUAAUGAUGCUCCAUUCAUUAGAGGCAGUUACAGUUUGAUAGAUUUUGGAUGAUAACAUGCUUCUCCACUGCACUGACAUCACUGAUAAUUGUCCCCUCAUCAGUCAGCUACCUCGGCACACAGUCCCAUUUGUGUGUACGUCGAUGCGGACAUUAGGAGUAGGGCUAGGCUAGAUGAGGCAAGACGUGUGGGUGGGGAGAUGAGACUGACCCCGACCUCUGAGAGAGAUGAGACGUCAAGUGAGCGAGGUGCAUCCAUCACUGUGGAGUCGUAAAUCAUAUUGUGAAAUGUCAGAGAGCAGUGGAAAGGUUAUAGGCCCCUAGAUUUCGGCGCGUGUAUACAGAUUUGCGGCACAAUAAGCCCAGUUGCCGUAGAUUUGCCAUCGUUUUUGGCUCUGCUGUGAUGGAAAAAAGACAAAGAUUUGACCUCGGAGUGCCCCUCUUGAAUACACAGACACACAGGUUACUAUGGGACCAGGAGCUGUUGUCACAUGUCGCUUGUUUGCUCUAUCAUUUAUUUCUCAUCACUGUGUAAAACUAUCUUUUAGGAUCUUUUAACAAGGUUCUUUGGAGCCCAGACUGGUUUCACAAUAGAGGAGCCAUCAGUUGGCGGGUUUUAGCCGUUAUAAAGCAGGAAUUUUUAUUGGUUGACUGGAUGUCUUUUAUGUUCAUUUCUUUGUAAAUAGAAGAUGUGAUGCUGUGGGUAUGUGAGAGAUGACUCACCUGAUGAAGACCACACUGCAAUGAGCUUGGCAGUCCCACAUCUGACGAGAGCCCGUGGUCAUCAAAUGACUUGUUUGUCCGAGCAACAGAUAUUGAGCAAACCCCCAGAUAUUCAAUUUACUAAAAUGUAAGAGAAGCAAAAAUUACAAAUUCUGAGAAGAUGAAACCCUAAAAUGUGAACCGCUGCACUCUUCGCCUGGCACUGCCCUGGUUAAGAGUCCUGUGGAACUAUAGUGAAACGAUAAGCCACUUGUGGGCAGGCCCCAGUACAGCGCUUAUUAAAGACCUGUUUGUUCCAGGUCAUUUUGUUUCACUGCACUUGAAAGGGACGGUAAAAACCCUGACCGUUUGAGCGUGAAUGCAACCCCUUCACUUGAAUAAGGGGAUGGCUCUGUGUUUCUAGGUCACUGUGCGUCCCCGAAAUGCACACCUCUCUAUCCGCAGGGAGGGAGGGAGGAACACAAACAGACCUCGACAUUUGACAACAUCACAUUUGCAUUUAAUAGGGAGCUUAGGGGAUACACUUCCUGAAAUGAAACACUGUUAACGGCUGAGUUAGUGUGGCAUAUCGACCAAAACCCUUAAACUUAAGCAUUUUAGUAUUUUUUUUUUUAUUGUGUAGAAUGUCCUAAAACAUGUAAUUGUAUAGAAUAUAAAAAUAUGUCAUAAAACUGUCAUUUUAUAUUCGGACAUAAAAUUCUUACAUUAUUUUAUGACUAUGUGACAACUCCUCCACUCCACUAGGUGUCUGUGCGUCUUUGUUUCGCUGACUCUUCUUUGUCUUGCAGGAUCCGGAUCGUCGACUUGAUGAGCGACUACCUGGGCUCUGUGUUAGUUCUGAUAUGAGAGCUCACCACCCUUCCACGGGCUUUCCUUGCUGGCGCUACUCGCAUUUUUCUUUUGUUUGCUGCAGACAUUUUCAUAAUUCCGUACAUGAUUCUUGACUUUCAGGUUUGUUCUGUUCUCUGCUGUUUUGUGAAUAAAUAUGCUUAUUGAUGACAUUUAAACUUGUCUGGUCUCCCAAUUCCCG